rnacentral:lncRNA from 1 species
AAACACGAGCACCAGACCUGACUGGGUGGUUGAGGGAGCUCCUGGUGAAAUGUGCUGAGGCUUCUGCUGAGGUUUCUACCUCAGCUCCACGGCCUGGCCAGGUAGGAAUGCAAUUCACCUUCCUGUCAUGUUUCUGUCCUGGCACUCCAGACAUUCGGGUCAGACAGACCUCACUAUCUCCAAGCUGCAGUGAAUCUGAGAGCCAUGAAAGUUCAAUGGAUUGAAGAAAAUGUUCACGGAAGGAAGAUGAUUAAUUGAUCCAGAGGGCCUGUAGCAACUCUGUUUAACAUGCUAGAUGAGCCAGUCUUAUUCAGUGAUGACUAAGGAUCUAGAGAAAACUGGUGUCAGGUUGGUCUUCUUCUUCCCACCUAUUUUCAGUUGGCCUGCAGUUCCUAGGAUGUGUAUCCUGUAUGCUGGUCACCGGAAGAUAGGCAAAUUUUUGCUUUGUUGCUGGUUCUGGGACAACAGCCAUGAAUACAAAAGAUUAAAUGGAAGGCUCUGGAGCCCUGAGGAAUAGCAGUUACUAGACUGAAGGAACCUGAGUUUCUAGAUUGCGAUGUUGAGCAGAGUCCCUGCUAACCCAGGAAAACUCUGAUGUGAGAAAGAAGAAAACCCGGAUUGCACUAACUCACCGAGAUUUCGAAGUUUAGUUGUUCGGCGAUGAACUUGUCCUGAACAACAUAGAGGAACAGUGGGAAAUACAUGGAGUGUGCUUAUAAGAAGCUAUGGUAGGCAGGAUUUCAAGAUGUCCUUGUGAUCUCUGCCUCCUUGUGUUUCUCCCAUGACUAUGUCAUGUUCCACAGCAAAAGGGAUUUUGCAAUGUAUUAAGGGUACUGAACGGUUGACCUUAAGAUCGUGGGAUUAUCUGGGUGGGCCUAAUUUCAUCACAUGAGUCCUGUAAAAGAAGUGAAUUUUCUCUAUUUGGUAGCAGAAGAGGCAGUCAGAGACAUCUGAAGUGUGAGAGGGAUUCAGUGCUGAAAUGGAGAAGGUCACAUGGUAAGAACCUGAGAGUGGCUUCUGGUAGCUGAGAGUGAUCCUUGGCAAGAUAAUGGAACCUUAGUCCUAGAGCCUCAAGGAAAUUAAUUCUGCUGACAAUCUGAGGGAACUUUGAAGCAGAUCUUUUCCUAGUUGAGCCUCCAAGUAAGGAUUUAGCUAGCUAGCUGGUACUUUAAUUUGAGCCUUAUGAGUCUCUGAGCAGAGGACCCAGGGAAAUAAAGUCAGGCUCCUAAUGCAUGGUGAUGAUGACGUGAUAAGUGUGUUUUGUUAAGCUACUAAGUUUGUGGUAAUUUUUAAUGUAGCAAUAAAAAACUAAUGCAGAGAGUGAAAAGUGCUGUGUCUAAGAUAUGUGGCAAAAUCAGGGUUAGUCCAUGCUGGUGUCACCAUCCAAGGAAUUGGAUCUGGUGAGCAGAAUGUGGCAGCAGGAGGCAGUGUGAUGGUGACAGUCACAAGGAGAUGGGUUCUGGGGCUGCAGUUUGAGGGUUGAAGCAGCUGCUGUGGAUUUAAGGAUCUGAGAACUCAGGCACAGAAGAGGAGGUCUGGCAAAAUCUGGGCAGAUUUUGCCCAAGAAAUGGCCUGGGGUCAGAGAUUGAGUCUAAAUCUCAGUGUCAAGAACUGAAGUUCACUUAAUUCUUUUUUUUAAAGAAACUUCUCGUUUAAUAAACUAGGCUGCUGAUUUUGAGAUAUUUACUUAUGAUUUUUUCAUGGUUCUUCAGAAUUAUCUCAGAGGGGUCUGAGAGGCUGAGCAGACAUAGCCUUAGUGACCCAUUUCUGUUUUAGCCAGGGCAGCCCUGCAUGUAGGUAUUUAUAUUUAGGGUUCCAUAUGACACUGCUCUUGGAAAAAGACCUUCAUUACUAAGACUGUUAGAAAAUGCCUAAUUUAGGGAAAAGCCAAGUAUCUUUGGGAAAAUGUGGGGGCUUCUCCUACAUAAGGAAGCAAGGCUAACUCUAGACCCCACAAGAGAGGGCUUGGUUCUCAUUGGUUCAGGUUCUGGCUGGAAUGAGACUGAAGGAUAAAAUACCCUAGGCAAGGCUGGGCAAUCAAGGACUGGACAAGAUCUUGCUUGGCUUUAAAGGAUCCCCUACACAAUCCUCAGAGAUGGAAGCACAAUAGAUAAGGAUAUGUAAAAAUAUUAUGUACAAUACACAUUAUACAUAUAUAUAUACACAUAUAUGUAUAUGUAUAAAACAUGGAUUUCCUGACCUGCUCAUCUAAUCUGGCUCAUUUUGUGUCAAUUCCAGUGUCUUCAUUUCUAAUAAAUAUUUAUUAAAUACCUGUGUGUGCCAGGCCUUGAACUUAGACCUGGGGAUCCAGAAGUAAGAACAAGAAGGGAGAGAGAGGGAAACAAGACAAUACAUGAUCACAUCAGGUUCAGACAAGAAAACAAGUUUGACUUUCUGAUUGUGGCAAUUCCAUGGGAAAGGAGCAAUGCGAUCUCCAGUUUGACACAGGGCUGCUAUGCAGGAACAGCACCCUGGAGUGACCAAAAAUAAAGGCAGCAAGCACCUGGAAGCCCAGGCCUCUGUCUUUUAACUCAGUUAAUGAGAUCUUUGGCAUAACCAUGUAUACACAUGAAAUUUUCUCCUCCUCAGUCUCUAAUUGUACCAAUUUAGUUGCCAUUAAGAUUAUUAGCAUAAUUCUACUUUAAUUACUGACAACUGUACCUGGUGCAAUGAGUGAACCUCCUGGGCAACUUCCUGAAAAGCACAGUUGCUCCAUCACUGCUGGGUAAUGGUGAUCAUAAGCUUUGCCAAGCAGAGAGACAAAGCGACACUCUGCCGACGCAGCCUCACUUGCAGUCUUCACCUCCCAGCAGCACCAUCAUGCUAUUGACCCCAUCAUUUUCUUGGGCUAGUUUACAGAAGCGAAGACAAAGGGAGAGAAAUCCACCCGUUGAAUCAGCCACUGUCUGAACCAAGGCAACAAUUCCCAUUGAUCUGACUCACUGCCUGGAAGAAGAUGGUGGUCAUCUCAUCCCAUUAACUGUUUCUGCAGUUUCAGGGGACAGUGUAUUCUGCUUUAUUGCUUCAAGUGAUAAAAUGGGUAGAAUUUGUUACUAUGCAGUGACAAGUAGCCAUGAACUUAAGCAAAACCAAACGGAUGGUAGGUUAAAUCAUAUUUGAAAAGCAUAUUCAAGUAUAAUUUUCUCUUUUCGGAGGCAAAAGACCCAGGUCUUAAUGGAGGAAGAGCUAUUUUUAGCUUAUCAUGUGUCCAGGUGUUCAAUGAUUUGAAAUCUUAUAUCAGGCUUUGUUUCUGAAUUAGUCUACUUCCCCCUGAUUACAGUGUUUUAGUUAUUUAUUGCGGCAUAACAAACCACCUCAAAACUUAGUACCUUAACACAAUAAUUUGAUAUUAUCUCUUAGCUCUUGCUUGGAGGUCUCCCAUGUGGUCACCUUCAGUUGUCAGGUAUGGCUGGAGCCAUCUGAAGGCUUGACUGGGCCAGAUGUCCAGAUGGUUUCUACAUUCACAGGUCUGGUACUCGGGUGAGUAUAACUGAACAAUUGAGCUUAGCUGAAACUGUUGACUUGAGUGUCUACACAUGCCCUUCUCAGCUUGUGGUCUCAGUGUGCUCAGGCUUCUCACGCAGCAACUCAAGGCUCCAGGCAGGAGUUGCCAAGUCUCUUUUAAUCAAAUGUCAGAAGUCAGGUAGUGUUAUUCCCUGCACAUUCUAUUAAGUGAGUCACAGAACUAGCCCUGGUUCAGGAGGAGAGAACUGCAAAAGGGCAUGAACGUGGGAGACAUGAUUCAUUGAAAGGAGACACCUUUGCAAAGUAGCUAUCAUAUUAGCAUCUUUAGCAUUUUAUAUGAACUCAGGUAAAAACCUGAGGGAUUGUAACAUCCCCAAACCUUAUUGCGAGUAAGCUGAUUAUGAGGGUCAUUUAGUAUAAAGUGCCCAUGCUAGCUGAAACCUCUCUUAAUGAAACUGACUAAACUUUGUCUGUCAAGCUUAUGAACUUUACUAUUUCUGGUUGAGCCCCUACCUUCUAGGAAAGUAGACAAUUUAUUCUGAAUUGGAAAAAUUUUAUCUGUAUUUUACUUGAGCAACUUUUUCAACAAUAAAAUCCCGAUGAUAAUUUUUAAAAAUAAAGAGCCAAGAGAAUCACAAUUUCCUAUGGCUACACUAGUGACUUCAGAUUUGACUUUGCCAGUUUGUCAAACUACAAAUGUUAAGGAGGGCCUCGUGUAUGGUAAGCAGCCCCUCUGUGAGGUGCUUGGGAGGAAGAAAGGACACUUAAACAUGGUUCCCGUCCUGGAUGAGCAGGCAAGUCCUGAACCCAAAACUUAGGAGUAAGGAUUUCUCUGGCAGCCUAAAAUUUAGUUGAAAAAGCAAAACAUUGCAUAUACAGAAGAAUAGAGUAAAAAUUGCUACAUAGUGGAGUACAUGUAGAUUUUAUGGCUUUCCAAUUAUUUUUCAACUUUCAGUUU